rnacentral:lncRNA from 1 species
UUUGUUCCCUGCUGAUUAUCUUACAGAGGUCAGGAAAUGAGGAUUUUUUUUUAAAUUGGAGUUGGAGGGAUUACUGGAGAUUGAAUCUAGGGCUGUACAUAUACCAGGCAAAUCACAUUAUACCCAGCCCAAGUACCUUCAGGUCAUAUUCUCGUAUCUAUUGUAGUGUUUGUACAUUAAGACUUUGUUUUAUCACAGAUUAGUCUGCCUCUUUUUUCCUCAGCUCCCAUUUGAUUUUACAUGGAAGAUGCUAAAGGACAAAUUCAAUGAAUGUGGCCACGUGCUGUACGCCGACAUCAAGAUGGAGAACGGAAAGUCCAAGGGGUGCGGUGUGGUUAAGUUUGAGUCUCCAGAGGUGGCUGAGAGAGCCUGCCGGAUGAUGAAUGGCAUGAAGCUGAGUGGCCGAGAGAUUGAUGUUCGAAUUGAUAGAAACGCUUAAGCAGUUGCCUUUUUUAAACAUCAGUACCAGACCUCUGAAUUUGUAUUUUUUCUUGUUAACCAUUUUAAUUUGUUGGCUGGAUGUAUAAAGAUGUUUAAAAAAUUCAGUUGCUUUUUGGGGUAAUUUGAAUUAAUUUUUUAAUGAUUGGGGUUCCAUUUGACUGUUUGCAUUGAGAUUGCAAUGUGCGCAAUUUUUUUUGUAGUUGUGGCAUCUUGUUGACAUCGAAUAUGACUUUGAUAAUAAAUACCAGUUCCUGAAAGUG